GUCUAUGGUCGUACCACCCUGAAUGUGCCCGAUCUCGUCUGAUCUCGGAAGCUAAGCAGGGUCAGGCCUGGUUAGUACUUGGAUGGGAGAAAGAGCAAAAACCCUUCUCCAAAAAGCUGCACCAACUUAGGCA
rnacentral:rRNA from 1 species